GACGAAGGAUUCAAGCGUUGUCCGGAUUUACUGGGUUUAAAGGGUGCGUAGGCGGCAAUAUAAGUCAGUGGUGAAAUCCCGCAGCUCAACUGCGGAACUGCCAUUGAAACUGCAUUUCUUGAAUACGGUUGAGGUAGAUGGAAUGUAACAUGUAGCGGUGAAAUGCUUAGAUAUGUUACAGAACUCCGAUUGCGAAGGCAGUCUACUAAGCCGUUAUUGACGCUGAGGCACGAAAGCGUGGGGAGCAAACAGG
rnacentral:rRNA from 1 species